GACGAACGCUGGCGGCGUGCUUAACACAUGCCAGUCGAACGGAAAGGCCCUGCUUUUGUGGGGUGCUCGAGUGGCGAACGGGUGAGUAACACGUGAGUAACCUGCCCUUGACUUUGGGAUAACUUCAGGAAACUGGGGCUAAUACCGGAUAGGAGCUCCUGCUGCAUGGUGGGGGUUGGAAAGUUUCGGCGGUUGGGGAUGGACUCGCGGCUUAUCAGCUUGUUGGUGGGGUAGUGGCUUACCAAGGCUUUGACGGGUAGCCGGCCUGAGAGGGUGACCGGCCACAUUGGGACUGAGAUACGGCCCAGACUCCUACGGGAGGCAGCAGUGGGGAAUAUUGCACAAUGGGCGGAAGCCUGAUGCAGCAACGCCGCGUGCGGGAUGACGGCCUUCGGGUUGUGAACCGCUUUCGCCUGUGACGAAGCGUGAGUGACGGUAAUGGGUAAAGAAGCACCGGCUAACUACGUG
rnacentral:rRNA from 1 species